GAUGAACGCUGGCGGCGUGCCUAAUACAUGCAAGUCGAGCGAACGGACGAGAAGCUUGCUUCUCUGAUGUUAGCGGCGGACGGGUGAGUAACACGUGGAUAACCUACCUAUAAGACUGGGAUAACUUCGGGAAACCGUAGCUAAUACCGGAUAAUAUUUUGAACCGCAUGGUUCAAAAGUGAAAGACGGUCUUGCUGUCACUUAUAGAUGGAUCCGCGCUGCAUUAGCUAGUUGGUAAGGUAACGGCUUACCAAGGCAACGAUGCAUAGCCGACCUGAGAGGGUGAUCGGCCACACUGGAACUGAGACACGGUCCAGACUCCUACGGGAUGCCGCAGUAGGGAAUCUUCCGCAAUGGGCGAAAGCCUGACGGAGCAACGCCGCGUGAGUGAUGAAGGUCUUCGGAUCGUAAAACUCUGUUAUUAGGGAAGAACAUAUGUGUAAGUAACUGUGCACAUCUUGACGGUACCUAAUCAGAAAGCCACGGCUAACUACGUG
rnacentral:rRNA from 1 species